rnacentral:lncRNA from 1 species
GAGGAUAUGUUUGUACAUACCUCAGAAGAGGUGUAUGAGCACUUAUGUGUUCUCGGUCGACAAAUUGUCGUGACCACUAAGACCAUAGAGAGAAGGUUAGGAAGUUCCAUGAAACAUAUAGCACACUAGGUGUUUGAAAAAAUGCUAGUGUGGGGCGAAGUUAUGACCUUAGCUUGUAUCACCUUCGAUACCAUUCGUUAUCCAUUUUUAUUGCUUUGAUAAUUAAAUAUAGUUAGAUUAAGUACACAUCUGUUAUUCUGCUGUUCGAAUAAAACUUAAGCGAUACUAAGUUGGUAUUUGGUAAAUAUUAGUGAUAGUUCCUCGUGGGUAUGACACUCUUCUUAUCACUGUAUUACUUGUUAGACCUCGUAUACUUGCGCGUAUUUAGUGAUCGAUAAUCCAACCAAAAAGUUUUUGAUGCUGUUGCCGGG